GAUGAACGCUGGCGGCGUGCCUAAUACAUGCAAGUCGAGCGAACGGACGAGAAGCUUGCUUCUCUUACUUUCGCGGCGGACGGGUGAGUAACACGUGGAUAACCUACCUAUAAGACUGGGAUAACUUCGGGAAACCGGAGCUAAUACCGGAUGAUAUUUUGAACCGCAUGGUUCAAAAGUGAAAGACGGUCUUGCUGUCACUUAUAGAUGGAUCCGCGCUGCAUUAGCUAGUUGGUAAGGUAACGGCUUACCAAGGCAACGAUGCAUAGCCGACCUGAGAGGGUGAUCGGCCACACUGGAACUGAGACACGGUCCAGACUCCUACGGGAGGCAGCAGUAGGGAAUCUUCCGCAAUGGGCGAAAGCCUGACGGAGCAACGCCGCGUGAGUGAUGAAGGUCUUCGGAUCGUAAAACUCUGUUAUUAGGGAAGAACAUAUGUAUAAGUAACUGUGCACAUAUUGACGGUACCUAAUCAGAAAGCCACGGCUAACUACGUG
rnacentral:rRNA from 1 species